GGGGAAUUAGCUCAAGUGGUAGAGCGCUCGCUUAGCAUGUGAGAGGUAGCGGGAUCGAUGUGCAUUCUCCA
rnacentral:tRNA from 1 species